AUUUCCAGUUAAAACUCUUUUACAAUGUAAAUAAACGGUUUAAGCAUAAAUAAAAAUAAAAUGUGUUGGAUUCGGUGCAUCCUCCACCACCACCGAUGCAGCAACACUGUUUCCCUUGCCCAUUGCAUUAUCAAUAGACAAACCAAUGUUCUUCUAUUCCUCGUGGGCGUGGAAACAGCUAUUCAUGCAGAUGAUUGAACAAACAAACCACAAACGCCUAACCAUACCUGCUAGUGGCCACAAAGAGUUUACCUACUUGUGGGUUGUAAGUAAGAAAGUUAGACCUACCAUGUUGGUUUGGGUACCAUGUUGGUGUGUUUACUAUGUUGGUUUGGGUACCAUGUUGGUUCGGGUACCAUGUUAGUUACGGUACCAAGUUGGUUCGAGUACCAUGUUAGUUUGGGUACCAGGUUUGUUUGAGUACCAUAUUGGUUUGGCAAGUCAAUAUUGAGGAGGAGGACAACGCCAGUACUGCAUUUUCAGUUGGUUAUUUAGGGUGCUCCAAAUGCGAGCGUGUGCUAUUCAGUCUCGUAAG